GAAUCAAACCAAAUUUAUGAGCAGAUCAGGGUGCAUAAAUGAAUUGAAUUGGUGUUGUCAAGCUAAUUAGUGCUAUGGUAAAUUGUUUAGUGCUAUGCUGAUUUCUAAUUGUUUGAAUUACAAAACAUGGAUUUAAUUGCAUCUUGGAUCUUGAUUGGCAAAUUUUAUGCUUGCAUUUUGGAAUCCAAUUGACUGAUUGAUGUUGGUGCUGUUAGAAUUUUACCUUAGGUAAUUUCUCAGCAAUACUUGAAGUAAUUCUGUUUAAUUAAGGGUUUGAAGGCUGCAACACUCGUUUUCAAAAUUCUGAUAUUGUUAGUUGGAUUUUUAUUUUUUCCUUUAGUUAGUGGCUGAAGCUUUUCUUGUCAUGGAACACCGGAAAGAAUAAGUACAUGUACAUGCCCAAAGUGUAAAUUGAAAUCACUUUUGAGAUUCCAUCAAGUGACAGAAAUGCUACAUGAGGGAAUUUUAUGCAUAGGCUUUUCAAUUGUGCAGUGGAAGCUGAAGCAGCUAUUCAGAUAGUAACUUGGCAUAUUUCAUGCUGUGGCUUGGCAUGUUGUUUAUUCUAAUUGGUCUUGUAACUUGAUAUUUUCAUAUAGUAAUUGUACUUGCUAGUAAAAGGUAUAUGAAUUUUUUUUUUUUAGGAAAUUGAUUUAUUAAAUCAUAUGUCCAGAAUUAUUGUUGUAAAUUUCAUAUUUUAGCUCGAGUGUUUUUAUUUUUA